rnacentral:rRNA from 1 species
GAUGAACGCUGGCGGCGUGCUUAACACAUGCAAGUCGAACGAAGCACUUUAUUUGAUUUCCUUCGGGACUGAUUAUUUUGUGACUGAGUGGCGGACGGGUGAGUAACGCGUGGGUAACCUGCCUUGUACAGGGGGAUAACAGUUGGAAACGGCUGCUAAUACCGCAUAAGCGCCCAGCAUCGCAUGAUGCAGUGUGAAAAACUCCGGUGGUAUAAGAUGGACCCGCGUUGGAUUAGCUAGUUGGUGAGGUAACGGCCCACCAAGGCGACGAUCCAUAGCCGACCUGAGAGUGUGACCGGCCACAUUGGGACUGAGACACGGCCCAAACUCCUACGGGAGGCAGCAGUGGGGAAUAUUGCACAAUGGGCGAAAGCCUGAUGCAGCGACGCCGCGUGAGCGAAGAAGUAUUUCGGUAUGUAAAGCUCUAUCAGCAGGGAAGAUAAUGACGGUACCUGACUAAGAAGCACCGGCUAAAUACGUG